rnacentral:rRNA from 1 species
UACGUAGGGGGCUAGCGUUGUCCGGAAUCAUUGGGCGUAAAGCGCGUGUAGGCGGCCCGGUAAGUCCGCUGUGAAAGUCGGGGGCUCAACCCUCGGAUGCCGGUGGAUACUGUCGGGCUCGAGUACGGAAGAGGCGAGUGGAAUUCCUGGUGUAGCGGUGAAAUGCGCAGAUAUCAGGAAGAACACCAAUGGCGGAAGCAGCUUUCUGGGACGGUACUGACGCUGAGACGCGAAAGCGUGGGGAGCGAACAGG